GCGAGAGUAAUUCAGUGGCAGAAUGCCAGCUUCCCAAGCUAGCUACACGGGUUCGAUUCCCGUCUCUCGCUCCA
rnacentral:tRNA from 1 species